rnacentral:misc_RNA from 1 species
GCUUAUGGCGGGCGGUGCGUGGAGGUGCGCGCAAGCGCGCCUACCGGACUGUCUUCACGCAACCACCGGAUUCCAGCCACGCACCGUCCGCCGCCUUU